rnacentral:rRNA from 1 species
GAUGAACGCUGGCGGCGUGCCUAAUACAUGCAAGUCGAGCGAACGGACGAGAAGCUUGCUUCUCUGAUGUUAGCGGCGGACGGGUGAGUAACACGUGUAUAACCUACCUAUAAUACUGGGAUAACUUCGGGAAACCGGAGCUAAUACCGGAUAAGAUUUUGAACCGCAUGGUUCGAAAGUGAAAUACGGUCUUGCUGUCACUUAUAGAGGGAUCCGGGCUGCAUGAGCUAGUUGGUAAGGUAACGGCUUACCAAGGCCACGAGGCAUAGCCGACCUGAUAGAGUGAUAGGCGACCCGGGAACUGGGACACCGACAAGACUCCUACGGGAGGCAGCAGUCGGGAACGUUCCGCAGCGGGCGGAAGCCUGACGGAACAGCGCGGCGUCAGUGAUAGAGGUCCUCCGAUCGUAAAACUCUGUUAUUAGGGAAGAACCUAUGUGUACGUAACUGUGCACAUCUUGACGGUAACUAAUAAGAAAGCAACGGCUAACUACGUG